CCUCGGCUCGGGAAAGCCUUUCCCUUCUCACGAACUCUCUCCUGUCUCCUCCCUUUGCUCUUCCUCCACUGGCGGUGACGACUGGGCGAGCGGCGGCGCCAUUUGCCACGUCUUCGCCGAGCCCUUUGCCGGCGACGAGCAUUCUCCGGGAACUAUGUAAAUGUGGAACUAACCUUCAAAUAUGGCUCUAUUGCAUUGCCUGACCAUGUCAGAGUCCUCUUGUUGUUCCCGUUCUAGAAGAGAAGAGCUAUGGUUGAAGUUAUAAAUAUAAUAGGAUAUGUGGUAGUAUUACCAUAAGAAAGUAGAGUUGGAGACUGUGAUCUAUACACAUACCUUCGGUCUGAGAUGGGUUAUUGCAGAUUGGUUGUAUAUCAAAGUGUGGAGGUUGAUGCCAGUCAGAAGAAUACCUUCUAGGUAGUUAAUAAGCUGGUUUGCAUGGUGACAGGAAAUGUAUGUAUGACUGUCUCAUAUCCAGUACGCUGUGGAUAUGAGAGGAAACCUGUGACUGGGAUAGAGCUUACACUUCGUGCAGUGCCUUCGACAGUACGGAUACCUGAUUUUUUGUCCAUGGUAUAUGCUUCAAUGUCACAAUAUGGAUCUAGUAGUACUGAAAGACUUUUAGGGUGGAAUGCAUGGGGAGGUAUGCCAUGAAUGUCUAUAUUUACUGGAAUUUUCCAUGCUUCUAGGUGGCAUCUAGCAUCAUGAGUCCAAGGUGCCAAGGAAAAUGUGUAUUUGUUAUCAGUAAGGAUUUGAUAGCUGAGCACUGUGUCAUAGUUUUUUUUGUUAUCAAAUUGUAGAAUGAAAUCUGGUGGGAAGUAGGAUA